UGGGGAAUUUUGGACAAUGGACGCAAGUCUGAUCCAGCCAUGCCGCGUGCGGGAAGAAGGCCUUCGGGUUGUAAACCGCUUUUGUCAGGGAAGAAACGAGUUUCUCUAAUACAGAGACUUAAUGACGGUACCUGAAGAAUAAGCACCGGCUAACUACGUGCCAGCAGCCGCGGUAAUACGUAGGGUGCGAGCGUUAAUCGGAAUUACUGGGCGUAAAGCGUGCGCAGGCGGUUAUAUAAGACAGAUGUGAAAUCCCCGGGCUCAACCUGGGAACUGCAUUUGUGACUGCAUGGCUAGAGUACGGUAGAGGGGGAUGGAAUUCCGCGUGUAGCAGUGAAAUGCGUAGAUAUGCGGAGGAACACCGAUGGCGAAGGCAAUCCCCUGGACCUGUACUGACGCUCAUGCACGAAAGCGUGGGGAGCAAACA
rnacentral:rRNA from 1 species